rnacentral:rRNA from 1 species
AACGAACGCUGGCGGCAUGCCUAACACAUGCAAGUCGAACGAGACCUUCGGGUCUAGUGGCGCACGGGUGCGUAACGCGUGGGAACCUGCCCUUAGGUUCGGAAUAACUCCCCGAAAGGGGUGCUAAUACCGGAUAAUGUCUUCGGACCAAAGAUUUAUCGCCUUUGGAUGGGCCCGCGUUGGAUUAGCUAGUUGGUAGGGUAAAAGCCUACCAAGGCGACGAUCCAUAGCUGGUCUGAGAGGAUGAUCAGCCACACUGGGACUGAGACACGGCCCAGACUCCUACGGGAGGCAGCAGUGGGGAAUAUUCGACAAUGGGCGAAAGCCUGAUCCAGCAAUGCCGCGUGAGUGAUGAAGGCCUUAGGGUUGUAAAGCUCUUUUACCCGGGAUGAUAAUGACAGUACCGGGAGAAUAAGCUCCGGCUAACUCCGUG